rnacentral:rRNA from 2 species
UGGGGAAUAUUGCACAAUGGGGGAAACCCUGAUGCAGCAACGCCGCGUGAAGGAUGAAGGUUUUCGGAUUGUAAACUUCUUUAGUCGGGGACGAAGAAAUGACGGUACCCGAAGAAUAAGCCACGGCUAACUACGUGCCAGCAGCCGCGGUAAUACGUAGGUGGCAAGCGUUGUCCGGAAUUACUGGGUGUAAAGGGCGUGUAGACGGGUAUGCAAGUCAGAUGUGAAAUUCCAGGGCUCAACCCUGGCGCUGCAUCUGAAACUGUAUAUCUUGAGUGCUGGAGAGGAAAGCGGAAUUCCUAGUGUAGCGGUGAAAUGCGUAGAUAUUAGGAGGAACACCAGUGGCGAAGGCGGCUUUCUGGACAGUAACUGACGUUGAGGCGCGAAAGCGUGGGGAGCAAACAGG